AUGAACGCUGGCGGCGUGCCUAAUACAUGCAAGUCGAGCGAACGGACGAGAAGCUUGCUUCUCUGAUGUUAGCGGCGGACGGGUGAGUAACACGUGGAUAACCUACCUAUAAGACUGGGAUAACUUCGGAAAACCGGAGCUAAUACCGGAUAAUAUUUUGAACCGCAUGGUUCAAAAGUGAAAGACGGUCUUGCCGUCACUUAUAGAUGGAUCCGCGCUGCAUUAGCUAGUUGGUAAGGUAACGGCUUACCAAGGCAACGAUGCAUAGCCGACCUGAGAGGGUGAUCGGCCACACUGGAACUGAGACACGGUCCAGACUCCUACGGGAGGCAGCAGUAGGGAAUCUUCCGCAAUGGGCGAAAGCCUGACGGAGCAACGCCGCGUGAGUGAUGAAGGUCUUCGGAUCGUAAAACUCUGUUAUUAGGGAAGAACAUAUGUGUAAGUAACUGUGCACAUCUUGACGGUACCUAAUCAGAAAGCCACGGCUAACUACGUG
rnacentral:rRNA from 1 species